rnacentral:rRNA from 1 species
UACGUAGGGGGCAAGCGUUGUCCAGAUUCAUUGGGCGUAAAGAGCGUGUAGGCGGCCAGGUAGGUCGGUUGUGAAAACUGGAGGCUCAACCUUCAGAGGUCGACCGAAACCAUCUGGCUAGAGUCCGGGAGAGGAGAGUGGAAUUCCUGGUGUAGCGGUGAAAUGCGCAGAUAUCAGGAAGAACACCCGUGGCGAAAGCGGCUCUCUGGAACGGUACUGACGCUGAGACGCGAAAGCGUGGGGAGCGAACAGG